rnacentral:rRNA from 1 species
AUUGAACGCUGGCGGCAGGCCUAACACAUGCAAGUCGAGCGGUAGCACAGAGAGCUUGCUCUCGGGUGACGAGCGGCGGACGGGUGAGUAAUGUCUGGGAAACUGCCUGAUGGAGGGGGAUAACUACUGGAAACGGUAGCUAAUACCGCAUAACGUCGCAAGACCAAAGUGGGGGACCUUCGGGCCUCAUGCCAUCAGAUGUGCCCAGAUGGGAUUAGCUAGUAGGUGGGGUAACGGCUCACCUAGGCGACGAUCCCUAGCUGGUCUGAGAGGAUGACCAGCCACACUGGAACUGAGACACGGUCCAGACUCCUACGGGAGGCAGCAGUGGGGAAUAUUGCACAAUGGGCGCAAGCCUGAUGCAGCCAUGCCGCGUGUGUGAAGAAGGCCUUCGGGUUGUAAAGCACUUUCAGCGGGGAGGAAGGCGGUGAGGUUAAUAACCUCAUCGAUUGACGUUACCCGCAGAAGAAGCACCGGCUAACUCCGUGCCAGCAGCCGCGGUAAUACGGAGGGUGCAAGCGUUAAUCGGAAUUACUGGGCGUAAAGCGCACGCAGGCGGUCUGUCAAGUCGGAUGUGGAAUCCCCGGGCUCAACCUGGGAACUGCAUUCGAAACUGGCAGGCUAGAGUCUUGUAGAGGGGGGUAGAAUUCCAGGUGUAGCGGUGAAAUGCGUAGAGAUCUGGAGGAAUACCGGUGGCGAAGGCGGCCCCCUGGACAAAGACUGACGCUCAGGUGCGAAAGCGUGGGGAGCAAACAGGAUUAGAUACCCUGGUAGUCCACGCUGUAAACGAUGUCGAUUUGGAGGUUGUGCCCUUGAGGCGUGGCUUCCGGAGCUAACGCGUUAAAUCGACCGCCUGGGGAGUACGGCCGCAAGGUUAAAACUCAAAUGAAUUGACGGGGGCCCGCACAAGCGGUGGAGCAUGUGGUUUAAUUCGAUGCAACGCGAAGAACCUUACCUGGUCUUGACAUCCACAGAACUUUCCAGAGAUGGAUUGGUGCCUUCGGGAACUGUGAGACAGGUGCUGCAUGGCUGUCGUCAGCUCGUGUUGUGAAAUGUUGGGUUAAGUCCCGCAACGAGCGCAACCCUUAUCCUUUGUUGCCAGCGGUUAGGCCGGGAACUCAAAGGAGACUGCCAGUGAUAAACUGGAGGAAGGUGGGGAUGACGUCAAGUCAUCAUGGCCCUUACGACCAGGGCUACACACGUGCUACAAUGGCAUAUACAAAGAGAAGCGACCUCGCGAGAGCAAGCGGACCUCAUAAAGUAUGUCGUAGUCCGGAUUGGAGUCUGCAACUCGACUCCAUGAAGUCGGAAUCGCUAGUAAUCGUAGAUCAGAAUGCUACGGUGAAUACGUUCCCGGGCCUUGUACACACCGCCCGUCACACCAUGGGAGUGGGUUGCAAAAGAAGUAGGUAGCUUAACCUUCGGGAGGGCGCUUACCACUUUGUGAUUCAUGACUGGGGUG